rnacentral:lncRNA from 1 species
GAUUUUUAAUAUCUAAUUACGGCACGGAGUGAUCGUGAAACCCGUCUCAUGCAGAAGCGUGCUAAACCUGGUUCCCAGGAGCACCUGGUGCCCAGGGAGGAGGAGCCCGCCUCAUCUAGGGUCAGGAGGGACCCACGAGGCUGCGCGGGCAGCAGUUCUGCUGUGCGCUCUCAAAGGAGCGUGGAGACGGAUGGGAAUUCUGCAGCCAGACCCACCGCGGCAGUCAAGAGAUGUUUCCGCAAGAUGCUGCUCGGACGAUUCCCGCGGAGGGUCCCACACCGGGCCCUGCCUGCUCAGCAUGCCUCCCUCCAGCCUGUCUUGUCUCAGGGACUGGCCUGAGAAUUCCUCGGAGCAGAGGAAGGCCCUGGACCCCUAGGGAGGAGGAAUUCUGAAACGCCGUUACUGGAAAUGUCCUCUCCCUUGCGUGGCCUGGGAGGUCCUGCUCCUGUGAGCCUUGGCCGCUGGCUGGUAACCCCACUCCCUCUGCUGCAG